GACGAACGCUGGCGGCGUGCCUAAUACAUGCAAGUCGAGCGCAGGAAGCUGACGGAACUCUUCGGAGGGAAGGCAGUGGAAUGAGCGGCGGACGGGUGAGUAACACGUAAGGAACCUGCCUCAAGGAUUGGGAUAACUCCGAGAAAUCGGAGCUAAUACCGGAUAGUUCAACGGACCGCAUGGUCCGCUGAUGGAAGGCGCUCCGGCGUCACCUUGAGAUGGCCUUGCGGUGCAUUAGCUAGGUGGUGGGGUAACGGCCCACCAAGGCGACGGUGCAUAGCCGACCUGAGAGGGUGAUCGGCCACACUGGGACUGAGACACGGCCCAGACUCCUACGGGAGGCAGCAGUAGGGAAUCUUCCACAAUGGACGAAAGUCUGAUGGAGCAACGGCGCGUGAGUGAUGAAGGUUUUCGGAUCGUAAAACUCUGUUGUAAGGGAAGAACACGUACGAGAGGAAAUGCUCGUACCUUGACGGUACCUUACGAGAAAGCCACGGCUAACUACGUGCCAGCAGCCGCAGUAAAAC
rnacentral:rRNA from 1 species